UAGACCUAAGAGCCCCUGGCUGAGCCCGAGGAACGCUCGUCCAGGUCCCAGGUCCCUGGAGGGGGCAGCCGCGGCCCCGCGCCUCCCCCACCCCCCGACAGCCCCCGGAGAACUCACACCACCAGGCAAAUCCUCUGAAGUAACUCAAGAAAUGUAAAGAGGGAAGAAGUCCACAGUAGCAUUGGAAACGGAGAAUGAUACAAUAAAGGACCCAAAAAUAUGAAGGAAUUCCUGGAAGAAGUGAUGCAGAUGGAAUCAGAUCAGCAGAAAAGCUGAUCACGCUAAAGAGCCAGUGAUUUAACACAGGCGUACGACGGUGAUUCAACAACUCUACAUGUUCUGCUGUGCUCACCACAAGUGUAGCUACCGUGUGUCACCAUACAGUGCUGUCACAAUGCCACUGGUUACAAUCCCCGUUCUGUACCUUUCGUUCCCAUGACUUAUUUCGUCUAUCAAAAUUUUAAAUGCACGUCAUCUCGGAGCCAGUGAUUGUGCUAGGAACUUACCCAUUGACAUACCUGAAAAGCACAC